GAAACUUGUGAUAUGUUGUUUUGUUUUCAAAAUUAAAACAGUAAUUAUUUAUCAACUUGUGAUCUAUAUAAGAUCACCUGAAAUCGUUCAUUUUAAAGCAGUUACCUUAUCGUACAAAGAGAGAAGAAACUAUCUGCAUAUUAAGAUGAAGUUAGUAUUUGUCUUACUAAUAGUUGUUGUGACAGCACUGAUAGUACCUACUGAGAGCUGGCGUGGGCGGCGAGUAUGGAGACGAUACGUUAAGCCAGCGGUUAUCAAAACCGCUAUAGUCUCGGCGGUUGGUCGACAGGCCGACGUUGAUCUUAUUGACUUGGCCGAUUCAUUGGGAUUGGAUCCCGAGUCUCAAGAAUUUAAAGAUAUAGUUAAAGAGUUGGACACUGAUGGAGACGGUAUAAUCAGUCAAGACGAGCUAGCAAAAAUCGAAAUAUUAAAGUCCUUAUAACAAAGGCAUCAAGAUCAUCACUGACAAAAACGUGAAAACACCAACCCAUGGAUCCAUGAGCUAUACGUAUUUUAAUAAAUAAUCGAGCAUUC